rnacentral:rRNA from 1 species
CUACGGGGCGCAGCAGUGGGGAAUAUUGGACAAUGGGGGAAACCCUGAUCCAGCAAUGCCGCGUGUGUGAAGAAGGCCUGCGGGUUGUAAAGCACUUUCGGUUGGGAGGACUGCUUCUAGCACUAAUAUUGUUGGAAGUUGACGUUACCUUCAGAAGAAGCACCGGCUAACUCCGUGCCAGCAGCCGCGGUAAUACGGAGGGUGCAAGCGUUAAUCGGAAUUACUGGGCGUAAAGCGCGCGUAGGCGGCGAGAUCAGUCGGGUGUGAAAGCCCCGGGCUUAACCUGGGAACUGCAUCCGAUACUGUCUAGCUGGAGUACAGGAGAGGAGAGUGGAAUUCCACAUGUAGCGGUGACAUGCGUAGAUAUGUGGAGGAACACCAAUGGAGAAGGCAGCUCUCUGGCCUGAUCCUGACGGUGUGGUGCGCAACCGUGGGGAGCAAACAGGAUUAGAUACCCGUGUAGUC